rnacentral:rRNA from 1 species
UACGUAGGGGCCUAGCGUUGUCCGGAAUUAUUGGGCGUAAAGAGCGUGUAGGCGGUUUGGUAGGUCCGCUGUGAAAACUCGAGGCUCAACCUCGAGACGCCGGUGGAAACCAUCAGACUAGAGUCCGGAAGAGGAGAGUGGAAUUCCUGGUGUAGCGGUGAAAUGCGCAGAUAUCAAGAGGACCACCUGAGGUGAAGACGGGUUGCUGGGCUGACACUGACGCUGAGGCGCGAAAGCUAGGGUAGCAAACGGG